rnacentral:lncRNA from 1 species
UUUAGGUUUUUUUAGCUUUAAGUUUUGAGAUUAUUUUUUAGUGUUUAGGGUUGGUAGAGUUUUAGGAUUAGAUGAGAUUUAUGGUUAGGUUUAGGUAGGGUUUUAGGGUUAGGUUUAGGUAGGGUUUUAGGGUUAGGUUUAGGCAGGGUUUAGGGUUUAGGGUUAGGUAGGGUUUUUAGGGCUAGGUAGGGUUUUUAGGGUUAGGCAGGGUUUAGGGUUAGGUAGGGUUUAGGGUUAGAAAGGGUUUAGGGUUAGGUAGGGUUUAGAAUUAGGUAGGGUUUAGGGUUAGUAGGAUUGGGUUAGGUAUGGUUUAGGGUUAAAAAGAGGGUUUAGGGCUAGGUAGGGUUUACGGUUAGUAGGGUUUAGGAUUAAAAAGGGUUUAGGGUUUAGGGCUAGGUAGGGUUUACGGUUAGUAGGGUUUAGGGUUUAGGGUUAGGUAGGGUUUAGGUUAGGUAGGGUUUAGGUUAGUAGGGUUUAGGGCUAGGUAGGGUUUAGGGUUAGGUAGGGUUUAGGGUUAGUAAGAGGAAAAACGAAGAGAAGAGUAUUCAAGCAAGAAAGAACGUCACAGCUGACGUGGACAAUGUGGAGUCAGAUCAAUAACAGUCACGGGUUGUUACAGGCAGUUACAGACGUUAGAUAAUUGAGUCAUUCGUCUAUUAUAAAUAGGAGUCUGUUUGUAAAGUCAAGGAGCUUUUUGAGUACUGAGUAACUAGGAUCUAGACUAGAAGGUCUUGAUCACUGGCUCUUGACGAGUGAGUCGUCUUGAGAGUUCUUGUAUUGGCUUGUAACUCUGCGUGUAGAGUACAAG